GACGAACGCUGGCGGCGUGCUUAACACAUGCAAGUCGAACGGAAAGGCCCUGCUUUUGUGGGGUGCUCGAGUGGCGAACGGGUGAGUAACACGUGAGUAACCUGCCCUUGACUUUGGGAUAACUUCAGGAAACUGGGGCUAAUACCGGAUAGGAGCUCCUGCUGCAUGGUGGGGGUUGGAAAGUUUCGGCGGUUGGGGAUGGACUCGCGGCUUAUCAGCUUGUUGGUGGGGUAGUGGCUUACCAAGGCUUUGACGGGUAGCCGGCCUGAGAGGGUGACCGGCCACAUUGGGACUGAGAUACGGCCCAGACUCCUACGGGAGGCAGCAGUGGGGAAUAUUGCACAAUGGGCGGAAGCCUGAUGCAGCGACGCCGCGUGCGGGAUGACGGCCUUCGGGUUGUAAACCGCUUUCGCCUGUGACGAAGCGUGAGUGACGGUAAUGGGUAAAGAAGCACCGGCUAACUACGUGC
rnacentral:rRNA from 1 species